GGAUUAGAUACCCUGGUAGUCCACGCUGUAAACGAUGAGUACUAGCUGUUGGGUUCGGUGUAAAGGACUUAGUGGCACAGCUAACGCGUUAAGUACUCCGCCUGGGGACUACGGCCGCAAGGCUAAAACUCAAAGGAAUUGACGGGGACCCGCACAAGCGGUGGAGCAUGUGGUUUAAUUCGAUGCAACGCGAAGAACCUUACCUGGUCUUGACAUCCUGCGAACUUUCUAGAGAUAGAUUGGUGCCUUCGGGAACGCAGUGACAGGUGCUGCACGGCUGUCGUCAGCUCGUGCCG
rnacentral:rRNA from 1 species